rnacentral:lncRNA from 1 species
UCAUCUUUGUAUUCAAGAGCCUCAUCUUAUUCAUCUUUGUAUUCUGAAGACCCACGGUAGUACCAUACUUACAGUAGAUAUUCAACAAAUAUUGCCUCUAGCAAUUCCUGCUUUAGAAAAGUUCAGAG